rnacentral:rRNA from 1 species
GAGAUUCCCCUAGUAACGGCGAGCGAACGGGGAUGAGCCCAUCGCCUAAUCAACCGCCCCUGCGGCGGAGCUGAAGUUUGGCGUAUAGGAGAGACGUUUUCGGGCGCCGCUUCCGGUGCAAGUCCCCCUGACUGGGGCUCUUACCCCGAGAGGGUGCAAGGCCCGUAGCGGCCGGAAGGCGGUCCCGGAUGUCCUCUCCUGGGAGUCGGGUUGCUUGAGAGUGCAGCCCUAAUCGGGUGGUAAACUCCAUCUAAGGCUAAAUACGACCUGGAGACCGAUAGCGAACAAGUACCGUGAGGGAAAGUUGAAAAGGACUUUGAAGAGAGAGUUCAAGAGUACGUGAAACCGUUCGGAGGUAAACGAGUGGGCCCUCGAAGUACGAAAGGCGGGGGGACUCAGCCGAGGGCCAGGGGCCCGCCGUGGCGUCCGCGCUUCCCUACCAGGACGCGGUGCUGCGGCGACGGGCCCCGGUCGGCGGCGCAUUUCUUCCCGCCCUCCGACGCUGCGACCGGUCGGGUGCUCUACGAGCAGUCGGCCUUACUCUCGGGAAACGGUAGGUAGCCGGGUGGGCUCUAACGAGCCUUCCCCGGUGAAUAGGCCGUCCCGAUUUCGAGUUAGCCGUUCGCCCGACCGUAGGAAACGGCCCUCAGGGGCCAGGCCGUGCCCUCCCCUUCUGUGGGAUCGGUAAGCGCUCCGCAAGGGAGGCCGUCCGACAACCCUGUUUCACCAAAGUGUGUUCUGGGGUCGGCGGUGCCCGCUGGGCGGAGCGCUAUCGAGCGGGCUGCAAGCGGUCCGCAGCGAGUAGGUCGGUCACCCACUCGACCCGUCUUGAAACACGGACCAAGGAGUUUAACAUGCGCGCGAGUCAUUGGGUCGUGAACAGGCCCAAAGGCGCAAUGAAAGUGAAGGGCGGCACCCGCCGCUCGCGUUGGGAUGCUCUCCCCCUCGCGGGGAGGGCCGCACCAACUGCUCGUCCGUGCCGCCACGUCGGCUGGGCGAAGCCAGAGCGCGCACGUUGAGACCCGAAAGAUGGUGAACUAUGGCUGGGCAGGACGAAGCCAGAGGAAACUCUGGUGGAGGUCCGCAGCGGUUCUGACGUGCAAAUCGAUCGUCAGACCUGGCUAUAGGGGCGAAAGACUAAUCGAACCAUCUAGUAG